rnacentral:rRNA from 1 species
AGAGUUUGAUCAUGGCUCAGAUUGAACGCUGGCGGCAGGCCUAACACAUGCAAGUCGAGCGGUAGCACAGAGAGCUUGCUCUCGGGUGACGAGCGGCGGACGGGUGAGUAAUGUCUGGGAAACUGCCUGAUGGAGGGGGAUAACUACUGGAAACGGUAGCUAAUACCGCAUAACGUCGCAAGACCAAAGUGGGGGACCUUCGGGCCUCAUGCCAUCAGAUGUGCCCAGAUGGGAUUAGCUAGUAGGUGGGGUAACGGCUCACCUAGGCGACGAUCCCUAGCUGGUCUGAGAGGAUGACCAGCCACACUGGAACUGAGACACGGUCCAGACUCCUACGGGAGGCAGCAGUGGGGAAUAUUGCACAAUGGGCGCAAGCCUGAUGCAGCCAUGCCGCGUGUGUGAAGAAGGCCUUCGGGUUGUAAAGCACUUUCAGCGGGGAGGAAGGCGAGGUUAAUAACCUCAUCGAUUGACGUUACCCGCAGAAGAAGCACCGGCUAACUCCGUGCCAGCAGCCGCGGUAAUACGGAGGGUGCAAGCGUUAAUCGGAAUUACUGGGCGUAAAGCGCACGCAGGCGGUCUGUCAAGUCGGAUGUGAAAUCCCCGGGCUCAACCUGGGAACUGCAUUCGAAACUGGCAGGCUAGAGUCUUGUAGAGGGGGGUAGAAUUCCAGGUGUAGCGGUGAAAUGCGUAGAGAUCUGGAGGAAUACCGGUGGCGAAGGCGGCCCCCUGGACAAAGACUGACGCUCAGGUGCGAAAGCGUGGGGAGCAAACAGGAUUAGAUACCCUGGUAGUCCACGCCGUAAACGAUGUCGAUUUGGAGGUUGUGCCCUUGAGGCGUGGCUUCCGGAGCUAACGCGUUAAAUCGACCGCCUGGGGAGUACGGCCGCAAGGUUAAAACUCAAAUGAAUUGACGGGGGCCCGCACAAGCGGUGGAGCAUGUGGUUUAAUUCGAUGCAACGCGAAGAACCUUACCUGGUCUUGACAUCCACAGAACUUUCCAGAGAUGGAUUGGUGCCUUCGGGAACUGUGAGACAGGUGCUGCAUGGCUGUCGUCAGCUCGUGUUGUGAAAUGUUGGGUUAAGUCCCGCAACGAGCGCAACCCUUAUCCUUUGUUGCCAGCGGUCCGGCCGGGAACUCAAAGGAGACUGCCAGUGAUAAACUGGAGGAAGGUGGGGAUGACGUCAAGUCAUCAUGGCCCUUACGACCAGGGCUACACACGUGCUACAAUGGCAUAUACAAAGAGAAGCGACCUCGCGAGAGCAAGCGGACCUCAUAAAGUAUGUCGUAGUCCGGAUUGGAGUCUGCAACUCGACUCCAUGAAGUCGGAAUCGCUAGUAAUCGUAGAUCAGAAUGCUACGGUGAAUACGUUCCCGGGCCUUGUACACACCGCCCGUCACACCAUGGGAGUGGGUUGCAAAAGAAGUAGGUAGCUUAACCUUCGGGAGGGCGCUUACCACUUUGUGAUUCAUGACUGGGGUGAAGUCGUAACAAGGUAACCGUAGGGGAACCUGCGGUUGGAUCACCUCCUU